ACACUCCUGCGGGAGGCAGCAGUGGGGAAUUUUGGACAAUGGGCGAAAGCCUGAUCCAGCAAUGCCGCGUGUGUGAAGAAGGCCUUCGGGUUGUAAAGCACUUUUGUCCGGAAAGAAAUCCUUGGCUCUAAUACAGUCGAGGGAUGACGGUACCGGAAGAAUAAGCACCGGCUAACUACGUGCCAGCAGCCGCGGUAAUACGUAGGGUGCGAGCGUUAAUCGGAAUUACUGGGCGUAAAGCGUGCGCAGGCGGUUUGCUAAGACCGAUGUGAAAUCCCCGGGCUCAACCUGGGAACUGCAUUGGUGACUGGCAGGCUAGAGUAUGGCAGAGGGGGGUAGAAUUCCACGUGUAGCAGUGAAAUGCGUAGAGAUGUGGAGGAAUACCGAUGGCGAAGGCAGCCCCCUGGGCCAAUACUGACGCUCAUGCACGAAAGCGUGGGGAGCAAACAGGAUUAGAUACCCGUGUAGUCCCAUGA
rnacentral:rRNA from 1 species